UACGUAGGGUGCGAGCGUUUGUCCGGAAUUAUUGGGCGUAAAGAGCUCGUAGGCGGUUUGUCGCGUCUGCCGUGAAAGUCCGGGGCUCAACCCCGGAUCUGCGGUGGGUACGGGCAGACUAGAGUGAUGUAGGGGGAGACUGGAAUUCCUGGUGUAGCGGUGAAAUGCGCAGAUAUCAGGAGGAACACCGAUGGCGAAGGCAGGUCUCUGGGCAUUAACUGACGCUGAGGAGCGAAAGCAUGGGGAGCGAACAGG
rnacentral:rRNA from 1 species